GGGCUCGUUGUCCAGUUGGUUAACUCUCCAAAGGAGGCCAAAAGACGCUUCCCUCACGCGGAAGAGAUCUCCGGUUCAAAUCCGGACGGGCCCACCA
rnacentral:tRNA from 1 species